CGAAGCUUAGGAUUAUCACCAAACCGAGGGCCUUCAAAGCCCUAAAAAAGAGUGCCAACCUCUUAGCUUCUG
rnacentral:tRNA from 1 species